GCCGUCGUCCGUUGCUGAACCGCCCUUUUGGAGAGCGCAAACGGACACUCGCCCUCGCUGCCGGAGGAUUUCGGGCCUCCCCGGAAACGGUAGUAGCGGACAGUAGUAGUGUGGGGGGCGGCAGAGGUGUGUUCCCCUUUAAAAACUAUUUCACCCAUCCCAGUUGGUUUGGGGAAAACAACGGGAGAGGGGGCAGAAAAGGGUUUUGUGGAAAAAGUUACAACCAGUGGAGAGCGUUAAGACUCUGAAGAAAAUAAACGAAAAUUUCCAAGCACGUGACCGUGGUCUUGCUGGAGUUGAACGGCGGUGACCAGUGGCGUACGAAAAGGGGGCGAAGGGAAGUGACCUCUUGAAGACCGGUGUUUGGUGACGGAAAAUCGAAGGAAAAUUAUAGAUUUUUUCCCCGCCUGUGGCAGUGAGUUGUGGGAGGAAGAACGGGGAAAACCUUUGGUGUUUGAGAUGUGAAAAACCGGGUGUGGAAAUUGGAUGCUUGCACGAAAUCCAAGGAAUAAAAACCAGGAAAAAAUCAGCAGUGGAAAGUUUAAGAAAGGAAAAUUCAACAACCCCAAAGAAAAGGCAAGCAAAAUUCGUUUCCAGCAAAGUCUAACGAAGAUAAAUGUGUCGCUGGAAUCGAAAGUGAAAACUUCACAAAACCUCGCCCCCACCCAACAAUUGGAUUUUUAACCGGGAGGGGGUCGCCCACUUGUGGGACGACGACCAGCCCCACCGCCGAAAGGAUAGACCGGACACUGGACGCUGAACUGGACUGGCCGAAAGUGAAAAAGGGAAGCGAGUUUAAACAACUGGCCAGCCCAACCGUGGAAGGGAGGACAAAUUUCCAUUAUUAAAUUGGUGGUCGAGUGGCCGGAAAAUGCAUUUCCACUAAUUCUGGCGACCAGAUUCCGGAAAGAGCGCAAAGGUGAGCGCAACAGUUUGGAAUCAAUAACCCGAAAAUAAACAAGGAAAAUCGAGGAAAACUUGCUCCUGGAGGCAAAACAACAAAUAGAAACGUGAAACAAAAACACAAAAUCCUUGCCAGAAGUGAACUCCGACGUUUGGUAACGUGUCGCGAAGAAAAAUUUGAUUUUAUUGGAAUUGAACGAAGAAAGUUUUCGGAGUUUUUCGCCGAAGAAAAUACCUGCGCCGCUGUCCAAGUGUGUGGGAAAAGCAGCAACCAGCAGAGGAAAAAGUUCAAUCAAGGCGAGAGUGUGUACCACAGUGUGUGGGGAGGGGGUAAAAAAGAAAAAAAGAAAAGAGAGGAGGAAAAACCAUUGCCGAAGGGAAAACUUUCUCUUCUUGAAGUUUCUUGGUAUUUCUUGUGCUGGAGAGAGAGCGUGUUUGUGUGGCUGUGUCUUUCAGGCUGGAAAAGCUCCCAGUGUUUAUGGUGGGAAAAUAAAUAUAUAUCGAGGGGGCACACAACACACAAGUGAAAGUGAAGUUUUGCCGACGACGAGGAGUGAAGAAAAGUCAUCGAUCGAUUUUGCUUCAAUUUGAGACCGGGGAGGAAGGGAGAAAAAAACCCUGCUGCAACAAAGUAACGAAAGAGACGAACGAUGCUGGCGAACCGUGGCCACCCUGAACCGCCAACCACAUCACCACCCACAAUCAUCAUCCCGAGCAGCAGCAGCAACAUCAGCCCAGUGGCCAAUCGAAUCAGCCAAAGUAGCGACUUCAAUGACGACCAGGACGAGGACUGCCUCCUCCAGAAUGCUAAUCAGUCCGGCAGGAAAAGAUGUUGUCCCUUCGUCCCGUCGUCGAUUUCAGCAGGUCGUCCAGGUCGUUGGAGCAACUUCUCGCAGCAGCUUCGUGCCCAGGAGACGUAAACUCGACGAGGACGUCAACAGCGUGGUGUGACCCGGUCCAAGGAAGCGAACGACGACGGAUGCUGUGGCGUGAGUUCCGGUGAUGUCCACCCUGUCACCAUCCGGAGGAGCAGCAGCAGCACAAGAGGGACGACAAAACGAAUUAAUCACACCGCAAAAAAGGAGUCUGGGGCAAGCAACCUGGACUUGAUUUCCCAGGAAGGACCGAAAACGGAACGACGAAAUCAACCUCCCAGGAUGAUUAAUCACCCGGUGGAGAGAUUCGGUUGAUGAAAAAUAACUUUCACUCCCAGGCCGGGGACAGUCCGCCACCGUCACCCCGCCAAGCAGGACUCACCGUGAUUAACUGUGUGUGACAAAGCAGGAAAAGAAAUCGUAAAAAAAUCCUAAUCAAGAAAGGCACUCUCGCUCCCAGGGGAGCGACCUCCACCACCAUCCACUCUUGCUUAACAUCUGGGAGCAAAACGCACGCCGUACACCACCAGCACCAACAGCAGCAGCAGCAGAGACCUUUAAGGUCGCGCGAUGAAUCUUAUGAACAUGGACUCGGAAAACCGGGUGGUGCUGAACGUCGGCGGAAUCCGGCACGAGACGUACAAAGCGACGCUGAAGAAGAUUCCGGCCACGCGGCUGUCCCGGCUGACCGAGGCACUGGGCAACUACGACCCCGUGCUGAACGAGUACUUCUUCGAUCGGCACCCGGGGGUGUUCGCGCAGGUGCUCAACUACUACCGAACGGGUAAACUGCACUACCCGACGGACGUGUGCGGACCACUGUUCGAGGAGGAGCUGUCCUUCUGGGGCUUAGAUUCCAACCAAGUAGAACCGUGCUGCUGGAUGACGUACACCCAGCACCGGAACACGCAGGAAACGUUGGCUGUUUUAGAUAGGCUAGAUUUAGAUACGGAAAAACCUACCGACGAGGAGGUCGCGAAAAAGUUCGGUUUCGAAGACGCUUACAAUAAGGGCAAGGUGAACUGGUGGCAGCAUCUGAAGCCGCAGAUGUGGUCCCUUUUCGACGAGCCGUACAGCUCCAACGCCGCCAAGAUAAUCGGCAUCAUAUCAGUAUUCUUCAUCUGCGUAUCGAUCAUAUCAUUCUGCCUGAAGACGCACCCGGACAUGCGGGUGCCGUACAUCCGGAACAUCACGGUCAAGACGGCGAGCCAGAACACGUCCUGGGUGCUGGACAAAACGCAAACGAACGCCCACGUCGCGUUCUUCUACAUCGAGUGUGUCUGCAACGCUUGGUUUACGUUCGAAAUCAUGGUGCGGUUCAUCUCGUCGCCGAGCAAGCUGCGGUUCAUCACCUCAUCUGUGAAUAUCAUCGACUACAUCGCGACGCUCAGCUUCUUCAUCGAUCUGAUCCUGCAGCGGUUCGCGUCCCACCUGGAGAACGCCGACAUCCUCGAGUUCUUCUCCAUCAUCCGUAUCAUGCGGUUGUUCAAGCUGACGCGACACUCGUCCGGGCUGAAGAUCCUGAUCCAGACGUUUCGCGCCUCGGCCAAGGAGUUGACCCUGUUGGUGUUCUUCCUGGUGCUCGGCAUCGUGAUAUUCGCCAGCUUGGUGUACUACGCCGAGCGGAUACAGAUCAACCCGCACAACGACUUCAACAGCAUCCCGUUGGGGCUGUGGUGGGCGCUGGUCACGAUGACCACCGUGGGCUACGGGGACAUGACCCCCAAGACCUACAUCGGGAUGUUCGUGGGAGCGUUGUGCGCGUUGGCCGGUGUGUUGACGAUUGCCCUGCCCGUGCCCGUCAUCGUGAGCAACUUUACGAUGUACUACUCGCACACCCAAGCGCGGGCGAAACUGCCCAAGCGACGGCGCCGGGUCUGCCCCAUCGAGUUGACCCAGCCGCGGAGGGUGCCAGGUCAAGGUGGGCCAGGGCAGUGCGUUAACGCCGGAUCCGGCAAGCUUCCCUCUUCCAACGCGCCCAGCACCGGAAGCAUGGAUCAAACUAUCCGCCGCAUGAACGCCAACCGCACCAUCACCAAGGACGUCAUCCUGCCAAAGAUGGCAUGAUGGGACGAUAAUCUGUAGGUCUUUCGCUGUCAACGUCAACCGCAAAUGGGCACCUUCUUCAAGCUUUCUGUUCAGUUUGGUUGCCUUUUGCUCUAUGCUCUCUGUUCUGCCUCUGCCUCUGCCUCUCCCGACCUUCUGGACGUUCAGCAUCAACCUCUUCUCACUUUAAUGGAAAUUGAUGGCCACCAACGGGGGACGUUCUGGGACGUUCUGGAACCAUGAUGUCAUGCCACCAUGACUUAAAAUGCUUUUUGGAAAAUUGAUCAAAAUCCUCUUAAUGGGUGCCACGUGAUUGUGUCUUUAAUGACUGGUCUCACCGAAAACCUCAUCAUGGAAUCAACUGAACUCACCGCACGGAAGCGCAGAAACCAAGGACCCCGUGGGAGCCGUUUGAGAGGAGCUGAUCGUCGCGGCUCCACCGGCGGAGUCGAACGGCACCGGCCACGCCAGCAACGGAACCGGUCCUGCUCAAGCCCCGCCGAUGGGUUCGUCGUCGUUGCCGGCACCGUCGUUGGACGCGGCGCCCCCAUCUGCCACAACUGCCACCCAUCAACAACCGCAACAGCUGACCACGAGCACCAGCGUCGUCACGCUGGCCGGGAUGACCCCGAGUGCGGCCAUCUCCGCCCUCCGCCGGACCUCACUCGGCCCCUCCACCAAGAGCACCAAGGAACGGAAACUCAAAAAUAGCUAAAUUUAAGAGAGAGAAAACAAGCAACAACAAAUAUUCUACAGCUAAAUAACAAAAACAAACAAAAAAGAAAA